UACUGUGGAUUCAUUUUUAUUCGUGGUAUACCAAUUUUCGUGGGUUUCGUGGGUGACAGCGAACCACGAAUUUAAGAAUUCAACGAAGAAUAAUCCCGAGAAAUGUGUAUGGAGUCGGAUGUUUAUUUCCGGUUAUGUUAUGCAGUUCUAGUAUAGUGUUGACUAGCGAUAAACAUUGUAACAUAGCACAUGUUUUUUUAUUGAAAGAAGAUACAAAUAUUUUAAUUAAAUCAAUAAUAAAUAUAUCGAAUAUCAGUGAUAAUUUACUUUCUAAAAUUGAUUAACACUGUUCAUGGAAAAUAACUG
rnacentral:lncRNA from 1 species